rnacentral:rRNA from 1 species
CCUACGGGAGGCAGCAGUGGGGGAUAUUGCACAAUGGGGGGAACCCUGAUGCAGCGACGCCGCGUGGGUGAAGGAGUGCUUCGGCAUGUAAAGCCCUAUCGGCAGGGAAGAAGCAAGACGGUACCUGACUAAGAAGCCCCGGCUAACUACGUGCCAGCAGCCGCGGUAAUACGUAGGGGGCGAGCGUUAUCCGGAUUCACUGGGUGUAAAGGGAGCGUAGACGGCCAUGCAAGCCAGGGGUGAAAGCCCGGGGCCCAACCCCGGGACUGCCCUUGGAACUGCAUGGCUGGAGUGCGGGAGGGGCAGGGGGGAUUCCUGGUGUAGGGGGGGAAUGCGUAGAUAUCAGGAGGAACAACGGCGGCGAAGGCGGCCUGCUGGACCGCGACUGACGUUGAGGCUCGAAAGCGUGGGGAGCGAACAGGAUUAGAUACCCCAGUAGUC